AGAAUCAACGCUGGCGGCGUGCCUAACACAUGCAAGUCGAACGAGAAAGGGGUAGCAAUACCCUGAGUAAAGUGGCGCACGGGUGAGUAACACGUGACUAACCUACCCUUGAGUGGGGGGAUAACUGAGGGAAACCUUAGCUAAUACCGCAUAAUACCCACGGGUCAAAGGAGCAAUUCGCUCGAGGAGGGGGUCGCGGCCGAUUAGUUAGUUGGCGGGGUAAUGGCCCACCAAGACGAUGAUCGGUAUCCGGCCUGAGAGGGCGCACGGACACACUGGAACUGAAACACGGUCCAGACUCCUACGGGAGGCAGCAGUGGGAAUUUUGCGCAAUGGGGGAACCCUGACGCAGCAACGCCGCGUGGAGGAUGAAGUCCUUCGGGACGUAAACUCCUUUCGAUCGGGACGAUUAUGACGGUACCGGAAGAAGAAGCCCCGGCUAACUUCGCGCCAGCAGCCGC
rnacentral:rRNA from 1 species